AAGAGCCCAGCACCGAAUCCCGCGGCCGAUAUCGGGCGCCGGGAAAUGUGGUGUUCGGGAGGGUCCAUUAUCCCGAGAUUACGCGACGCGUCCAAGUCCUUCUUGAACGGGGCCACAGCCCAUAGAGGGUGCCAGGCCCGUAGUGACUGUCGCUAAUCGCGGGAGGAUCUCUCCUCAGAGUCGGGUUGCUUGAGAGUGCAGCCCUAAGCGGGUGGUAAACUCCAUCUAAGGCUAAAUAUGACCACGAGACCGAUAGCGAACAAGUACCGUGAGGGAAAGUUGAAAAGCACUUUGAAGAGAGAGUUCAAGAGUACGUGAAACCGUUUAGGGGUAAACCUGAGAAACCCGAAAGUCGAAGGGAGAAAUUCAUUCGCGUUUCGUAGCAGGCGUAGGACGGGGUAGAGUGACGGAGAGAGCGUUCGCGCACUUUUCGCACCCUCCGUUCAACGAACCGGUAACGAACGCGUGCACUUUUCUCCUGGUAGGACGUCGCGAUCCGUUGGGUGUCGGUCUACGGCUCGCGGUGGAGUCCGUUCGUGCGUUUCACGACGUAUGGGCGGACCCGCGUGACCCGGCUGGCUCGCUCGACGGUAUAAGAACGGUUCAAGGCCGCUCUCCAGGAGCGUUCGGCUCGCGGCAAGCGCGCCAGAUGCGUCGGCCAUCGGACCCGGUGCCGAUUCUGACCUCUGGUGACUGUUGGCCCGCGAAGUUCUCGAACAGACCUUCUUCUCAAAACCGAUCUGCGACG
rnacentral:rRNA from 1 species